GUUGCACGUCCGGACCCGGACCCAGACCCGAGCGUCGCAAGAAGGCCCGUUGGAGUCUCGCGCAACUGGGCGGGACGCGACUUCUGACGAAGUGACAAUGGUCUAUGCAUAUAUUAAGUGAAUAUUUGAGAAUUUAAAUAUGCUAAGCCAUGUUUUCCAGAGUUCAUGGAUGGAAAGCACCAGACGAGCAGAUGGCAUGGUGGAAAGAGCCUCCGAGAGGGAAUUAGGAUAACUGAGUUCCAGUCCUGAAUCACUUAUAGACUACUAUAUGUCUUCCUGAAUUGCAGUCUUCUUAUCUGCAAACUUCUGUAACAUCUCCAGAAGAAUGAAGCAACUUCUUCCUGUGUACCACAGCACACCUUGUUAAUACUUUUUUUAGAGCACUUAUACAUGGCUGUAACAGCUUGUUUACAUAUCUCUUUCGCCAGACCUCUGGAGAGCAAGGGCUACAGCUCCUGUACUUAGCACAGUGAUUAUCACUUAAUAAAUGUUUGUGGAA